rfam:Gasterosteus aculeatus cont1.009893, whole genome shotgun sequence.
UUAAAAAUGCAAUGUAAGUCGCUUUGGCUAAAAGCGUCUGCUAAAUGACAUGAC